CCAUCCCAUCUCUUCAUCCAAGCAGAGGCCUUGCAGCAACCCAUGAGAUCUAUGAUGACCGCCCCCAUUUGCCAGAUGAAAAGCUGAGGAUUGGAGCUGUGAAGGAACCUGUCCAGCAUGACACAGUCCUGAGCCUUUCUCAAUCUGUUCUCACUGAACCUUGGAUUUUACCAUCUGUUUUCGGGUUUCCAAACUCACCUCAUCUUGGGUUAAUGUUCCUGCUACUCUGACGCCUACGUAAGUGGUUGAUGCUCCUUCCUGGUUCUUCCAGGCAUCCUGGGAAGUGGCCACUCACCUCCAAAGAACAAGAGUGUUAGGCUGGUCCACAGAGGGACACUGUUGGUGGCCGGCAAGGGGUGGGUGGCGAGGUGGAAGCCGCGUUAGUUCAACUCUUUCUCUCCACACUGACAGGCGCUGUGUCUCGGAAGAGCCAGAGCCCAUCAGCAUUGAUCAACGAGACGCAAGAGUCAGAGUUUUAUCCAGGGAUAAUUGGUAUGCCACUAAACAGCACACAGUUCAUGUAUACCAUCUGAGAGUUUAGACAUAGGCAGACACGCCAGAAAUCACCACGAUCAAGGUAACACACAUAUCCAUCACGCCCAGACGUAUCCUUGUGCCCCC